UGCCCACUCACAGGCGCUGCCCUUGCUAGAUGAGAAAAGAGGCCACAUUAGGAAAGUAGAGGGAAAAAAAUAAUAUUUCACACUUUAUCCUUAGCAGGAUACAGUUUGAGAUUGGAAAGAGAUAUGGAAAAUUGUUUUACAUAACUUUAUUUUGUGAAGUUGUUGGUUUGCAUGGACAUCCUUUCUUGACCAAUAGGAUACCACCCUUCCUAUGUAACUAAUAAAGAGAUGCAAAACCUAAAUCUUUAGAAUGAAGUGAUCAAAUUCAUGCAGCAUAAAGGGAAAAGUUUGGUGCUUCUUAAAAUCAGUGAAGGCGACAUGUUGUUGAUGAAGAAAAAUCUAUAUCCAUCUUCUAUACUCACUGAUCCUUGCACGGUAGGUGGUGGGGCGUGGGGGGGAUGGGGUAAGGUGGGGGUGUGGUGCAUAUUCCCAGUGGUUAGUGGGCGAGAGGUGGGGCACACCCUGACCCUCGACAGGUCGCCAGUCCAUCAUAAGGCAUCACAGACACAAACACAGACAACAAUGCAUGCACACACUUACCACUCACUUACACAUACCUAAGGCCAUCUUAGUGAGACCAGUUAACCUAAGGGUAAUUUUUUGGGAUGUGAAAGGAAACUAAAGUACCUGGUGAGAAUCCAUGCAUGCAUGGAGAGAAGAUCCAAACUCCAUGAAGAAACACGCCAGGCUGGAAUUCUAAGCCAGGAAGGACCUUCUUUCUGCAAGGCAACAGUGCUCCUAACUGUGCUGUUGUAUAUCCAGAAGAAAUACAAAAACAACAAACAAAAAAAACAACAACACUGCAUUCAUGAUUUAGUCUGUGUUGCCUUCAGUGCCACAAACAGCUCCAACCAAAGUUUUGUAUGUAGUCAUGUUUUGGGAAUCAGUGGUCUGUCAGGAUCUGGAGGUGUGAUCUACCUGCUGCUAACUCUUCUUCACCACUAGGUGUGGCUGGCUGGAGGACGGAGAGGGACAGGUGUGGCUCAUUGAGCCUUCAGCUGAGCAGUAUAAAGAGGACGUGGUGCCAGCACUUUGUUGCCUGAACAUUUUGUCCUUGCGGUACAGCCUUCUGAUUUCAGGUGCUGACUCCUGGACCGGACUCAGAAUAAACCAGAACCACUGAGACUCUGUUGGACCUCUCUCCUUGAAACUUAGAUCAGACCAGCUGGCAAUCCGCGAACCCUCCAGAGAAACCUUCCAGCUGAGCGAACGCUGUCCAGCCCCAGAUCACCCGUUGUCCAUCCUCCUGAGCUUGCAAAUAAAGAAACCAGAUCAAAGAUAA